ensembl:lncRNA
AGGGAGCCAUUGCUUCCGCUGGCUGCAACCGGCGCGCUCGCAGCUCCCGUCCGCCCGGCAUCCAGAGGCUUCCUCAGCCGAGGACUCCAUAAUGCUGGAUAUUUUCAUCCUGAUGUUCUUUGCCAUCAUAGGCCUGGUCAUUCUGUCCUACAUUAUCUACCUGCUGUAGCGCUGCGGCUGCGGCGGGGAGCCCUCGGCACAGCUCAGGAUGAAGCUGACCGGCCGGGAUCCCUGCUUUGUGGACGCACCGGUGGAUUUGGGCUUCUGGUCGUUAUUUCGGCUCCUGGUCUGCAGUCCAACCAGAGGCCUCUUAUCAGCAGCGACAGCCCUGCUGCCCAGCAGCCCUCUUCCAGAGCCUUCCGGAUAUGGUUAACCACCGUCGGGCAAGGGGCUUUUGGAGCUCCGAGGCGGAGGCCGUCCGCUGGGACCGCAGGAGCGCGUGGGCGAGGCUGGCCGAUGCUGUGCGCGCUCGAGCUGUCGAGACAGGGUGCCGAGGACGCAGGGCCGGCAUGCAGGCUCCUUAGAGUUACCAUGCAGAGCCGCUCAGAUGCUCGUCUUGACAGCCUUUCUUUAGGUGUAAACGCAACAUAGGGUGCUCAGCUGUGUUCUUUCCUUUCCCUCUCACGCGCAGGGGGCCCCGCGUAAGUUCAAGGGCACAUCGUCUAUGAAGUGGUCACUUUAUCACUGUCUCUGCAGACCGCGGUGUGAGCUCGUGUGGUAGCCCUUGUCUGGCUCCCCAGCCGGAAGGAACUUGUCGUUUGAAUUUUUAAGAUUUAUCAUCUUUUUUCCCCACUCCAUACCACUUGUGCCCCAGCUUCUCAGUUCAAGAGAGAAAUGGUUCUAUAGUCCUCAUUCUUUGUGACUGGUUGAAUUAUAAAUUAUUGAAAGAGGGUAGCUAUACCUCAUCUUACUUGUUGUUUGGGGGGACAAAAAUCUCCUACUCCCAAACCAUAUGUUGUGGAAUCCAGAGUAGACGUGGGUCCCAAGUCUGUGGUACCUAUUCCUUUGAAAAGUCCAUCAUAAUUGUUCUACAUUUGAUUUUCCUUUCUCGCUUAAAAGUAAACAAGGAGAAAGAUUAACUUAUAGUUUUGAUUUAUAAUGUUGUUUUCAGUUUCCAUGUCUUAAAAAGAAGUAAAAUGAAGGCACUACAAUAUAUGAUCCAAUUAAAAUGGAAAACUUGCAUUUUAAAAUUCUGGCCAUGAAAAAACCCUGCUCUAAAAGCAUUGUCUUGGCAACAAAUGAAUGACCUUCAAUCAGUCAUUUAAGCUUCAGGUUGUCUGUUUAUUCUGACAAACAAAAGGGCUGGACUAGAAAAUUGUUACUUAUUUAUUAUGUUAUUAUUUAUGAAAUUUUAAAUUGUUUUUAAUUUUAAAAUUCCCCUUUCCAUUUUAAAAUUCUACAAUUCUAGGAUGCAUUUACCGGUAGUUUGCUUUUUUGCUCUCUCCAUGUGACAUUUUAUAAUGAAAACUCAACUGCAAAACUUUUUUUUUUGGCACCACCAACCACACUGUGAGGAGAAAAUGACACUAUUUAUUUACUCCAAACAUGUACCAGUGACAAUUUGCUAAGCUGUUUGGGGAAUAUUAACGUGAGCAAUACUACGUGGGGGUAUGUAACAGAAAGAGGUGAUCUGACAGAUACACUAAUGUAGGAGGCAUGGGUCUGAACAUUAAUACUAUUUGGGGAGGAUCUUCAGUUAUCUGGGGAGUCCUAGACAUGACAUUUCCCACUAAAACAUUCCUCUGACUCUUUGGCCUAACUUCGUGUUUCAAACUGAAAUUUUUUCUACUUCAAGGCGAGGGUCAGUGUUUUGAAGGGGUCCAAGUUACCCAGUUAAUUAUCGUGGUAUGGAUCUUCAAGUUUUAGUCUCUAACCAAGUUCGCUCUGAAGUCUUUUAUGAGGGCAAGGCUCUUUAGCCUGUAUACAUGAGUAGCUGAAACCACUGAACAAUUCAGUGAAAACAAGCAGCCAGUUUCAGCUAUACCCCUUCGAUACAUAUCACUGGUAUUGGGUGCGACGGAAGGUGGAAGGACAUAGAAAGAGUGCCCAUAUUACUUGUGAAAUAUUAUGGUUUUAAAAAAAUAAGUGAUUAAGUUUUGGAAGAAAUUUUGGACUUUGCGCCUGUAUUCAUGCUAUAAUAUGCCAGUUUAUAAUAGUUUUACGGUGUUCAUCAUUUAGAUACAUUUUUAAAAUUUCACAUUUAAACUGUUUGUAUACUGGCAUAUAUUGCCAUCCUCAUACAUAAUAAAACACUGAAAAAAGUCA